CUCUCUUUGAAGGAUUUCUUCGGUUCUUCCCUCUCUCUUCAGGGAACAGUUUUCUCCUCACUGUUUCUCUAUGUUUUCCUUUACAUCUCUUCACUGGUGGGACUCUUCACAUGGGAAGGACUUCAGAGGUGCUGUAUCACCAAGCAACACAGAUGUUCCCAUCAGCCUGCAGUUGAAGAGUCUCAGACUAGUUCAUCACUCAGUCUGGCAGGGAAUUUCUUGAAGACUAAAUACAGACAGUGCUGGGGCUUUCCCGGCUGUCCUUGCUUGAUACAGGCUUUCCUUAAACUUCAUCUACCAUUGCUACUUUUUCCUCCUGUUCAUGAGAAUUAAAUUCAUCCACCUAAAAUGGAACAAAUGAAGAAAUUAGCUUUGUCUGAGGAAAAAAAAAUCUUUGGAACCAAUAUCAGACUAAGUCAACUGUAGCAGAAUGUAAUAAAUGACCAGAAAGGCUACCCUGAAUCUUAGAAACUUUGCCCAAGUCACAAAGCCCCUAAGUGACACGGUUUUUACACACACGUGUAAGCAAAGACUCAUGCCAAACAGCACAACAAAGCAGCAGCAGCAUUCACCAGCAGAAGUAACGCUGUCUGAUUGUUGUGAAGUCUCUUGCAGCAACGCAACAGAUGCUGGCCACUUUCUGGAAAAGGGGUUGGGACUGUGCACCCAGUGGGAGCCAUUUCUUGGUCUCUAAACACCAGAGCAGCUAAAGACACGUGAGAAAACUCCUGACUCUGGAGCAUGUUGUUUCUCUUUGGGAGAUGCUAUGCUCCACAUGCUCAUGGACGGAUGCAGCCCUGUGGUACAGGGAAGUGGUGCCAAAUGGCCACGUGCACUCCACCAGGUGACACAGAGCACUCGGCCUCAGUGCAGUGAGCACUGCAGUGAUACCUUCCCUUCAGCCACACACCAUGUGCUGAGCACCUCUGCUGGCUCCAGGACAUCCAGAGCUCAGAUAGGUCACAUCACAUGAAGCAGACCAAUUGCAAUGCUUCAUUAGCAAUUUAAAAAGAGCAUCUCAC